rnacentral:rRNA from 1 species
CCCGAAGGCGCAAUGAAAGUGAAGGCCAGUUCGCCUGGCCGAGGUGGGAUCCCGUCGCUCGGCGGCGGGCGCACCACUGCCCCGUCUCGAUCGCUCUGUCGACSACGCGGAGGAGGAGCGUGUGCGUUAGGAUAUGCCUGAGCAGGACGAAGCCAGAGGAAACUCUGGUGGAAGUCCGCAGCGAUUCUGACGUGCAAAUCGAUCGUCAAACUUGGGUAUAGGGGCGAAAGACUAAUCGAACCAUCUA